GAUGAACGCUGGCGGCGUGCUUAACACAUGCAAGUCGAACGGUGAACACGGAGCUUGCUCUGUGGGAUCAGUGGCGAACGGGUGAGUAACACGUGAGCAACCUGCCCCUGACUCUGGGAUAAGCGCUGGAAACGGCGUCUAAUACUGGAUAUGUGACGUGACCGCAUGGUCUGCGUUUGGAAAGAUUUUUCGGUUGGGGAUGGGCUCGCGGCCUAUCAGCUUGUUGGUGAGGUAAUGGCUCACCAAGGCGUCGACGGGUAGCCGGCCUGAGAGGGUGACCGGCAAGCCGGGGGCUGAGACACGGCAGAGAGGGUGUGGGGAGGCAGCAGGGGGGAAUAGUGAACAACGGGCGCAGGCGGGCGGGAGGAAGGCCGGGGGAGGGAUACCGGCCUGCGGGUCGUAAAGCUCUGCGAGGGGGGAGGAAGGGAAAGUGACGGUCCCGGAAGAAAAGCCGCCGGCUAGCUACGGGCCAGGAGGGGGGGUAAGGGCCGAAGGCACCCGCUCCAAC
rnacentral:rRNA from 1 species